rfam:Allochromatium vinosum DSM 180, complete genome.
GGGGGCGACAUGGCUUCGACGUGGGUCGCAAAACCUGAGGUGCAUGCCGAGGUGCGGGAAACCUCGUAAAACCAUCCGCAAACCAAUAGUUGCCAACGACGACAACUACGCUCUCGCUGCUUAAUCCCAGCGGGCCUCAGACCGCUGCCUGCCUAUGGACGGCGGAUUCCUGGGGUAAAAACACAUAGGAUCGCGGUGACGGGCGUCCGGACCUGAUCUGCUAAAACCUAACGGAAUCGCCGACUGAUCGCCCUGCCCCUUGGGCGGCGGGAGGCUAAAAACAAUAAAGCGGGCUAAGCAUGUAGGACCAAUGGCAGAGGGCUUGCGGACGCGGGUUCGAUUCCCGCCGCCUCCACCA